GACCGUAUCUUCAACUGGGACUUUUUUGGGGACAUCCAAAGCUACGAGAGAGAACGUUACAUCUUUGGUUGCAUUGGCAGAUUACAAACCAACUACUUGUGACUUAAUACAGAUACGGAGAAAAAUAUUACCUUAAAACAUUCCUGUUCUUCAACAUUGAUAAAGAAGACAACAAUCAAAAUGAAGUUUUCCACGACGGCCUUCGUAGUUUGCCUCAUACUAGUCUUAGUCACCAGCAGUUGGGGCGAAAAACCGGCCUGCCCUUGGAAAAAAUCCCCCGUCAAAUGCUGCAUCGACCAGCCGGACGAUGGCUCUAUCUGCGGUUGCUAUCCUCCCCUUGACGAACCUUGGGCCGCUGAUCGCGGCGUGCCCCUGUGCAGCGUCGUUGAGAACCCCCAACAUGACCAGAACACGGCCGUCACGUGUAAAUGGACCACGGAUCAAUACUCGGAAAUGUAUAUGAAUAACAAAUACUUGAACGGCGAAUACUGCUGUCUGUUUGUGGACCAGUGCCGGUGCCUGUCUUAUGACGUGUAUGUGCCGUUCUGGAGGAAAUGUGGAGACUGGUUCCCACAAAUGAUCGUCCAUGGCGGAGAGGUGACAAGGAGUCUCCGGAACAGGGUGAUCUCUGAAUAGCGAGUCCCUCGUCCUGUUAUGAGUAAAGACACUAAGAAAAGCACCUGACGUACAUGAAGAAUGUACAGGACAAUUACUGACACGCACCAAUCGUCUAGAGAAUUAUGGAAGAUUUUCAAUAUCUGAAUAUCUAUUAUCUGUUUAUGUAAGUUUUCACUGUAGCAAAGAAAAAGACAUUGAGCUGCUUUUUGUUAUGUUUUUGACUACCAAAGCAAUCGAUCUCUUUAGUAAUAAAACCAAUAUUUCUCUAAAA